ensembl:lncRNA
GCUCUCUUGUUCCUGUUACCCUGUAAAGCAUGUCUUCCUGCUAAAAAUGAAAACCUCCCUUGCCACAUAUAGCAGGGCUUUUCAGCUUACUGUUAACGUUUGGCGCUACAUAAUUUGUGGGCAGCUGUCCUGUUCAUUGUGUGAUGUUUAACAAUAUUCCUAUCCUCUAUCCACUAGAUAUCCGCCCCCCACCCCCUGAGUCAUAAUACAAAAAUUACUUCAGACAUUGCCAAAUGCCCUCUGGGAACCGAAGUUGCCCUAUGUUGAGAGGUACUCCCUUGUAAAUGCUGUAUCUCACAUCACCUGCAUUUAACUUGCUGUAGACCACUGAGGCUUAAUCAUCCCACCAUCACAGGUUUUAGAAAAUCAGUUGUGUUUUGGACAUCUUUAAGAUAAAAUAAACAUGUAAAGUCACUUGGCAUAUUUAGCUGGGAAUGUUAAAUGGUCCCUGUUUCCCAGGCAUAAUGGUUUAGCAGUGGAUAAGAGGCUUGCAGAGGCACUGUGGCUUAGGGCAGUGUCUCUACCCUGGCAGCAUCCUGGGCUUUGAGUCAGCAGACUACUUGGUCUUGCCAGAGAAAAUCAGCUAAAGGAGGCACGCCCAGGGUUCCUGAAGCCCAGAUUUGGUCCUGUAGGGCUUCUCUGCCAUUCAUAUUGCAGAUGCCAAAGCAUGACUGGCUGGGGUCCCAUUAACUUUUUUAAGAGACAGGGUUUUGCUCCGUCACCCAGGCUGGAGUGCAAUGGUUCAGUCAUAGCUCAAUGCAGCCUCAAACUCCUGGGCUCAAGAGAUCCUCCAGCCGCAGCCUCCUGAGUAACUGGGACUAUAGGCACGCACCGUGACGCCAAGUUAAUUUGUUUCUGUAGGGAAGGUCUUGCUACAUUGGGCAGGCCAGUCUUGAAUUCCUGGGCUCAAGUGGUCCUCCCACCCUGGCCUCCCAAAGUGCUGGGAUUACAGGUGUGAGCCACUGUACCUGGGCCAGAAAAGGAAUUUCUGCAGGGACUGGGCGCAGCUGAAUCAGGGAUGGGAAAGGUGUGUAAGUGGGCUUGCCAGAUAUCUUGCUUUAAGAAUGGUUCUCAGGCCAGGCGCGGUGGCUCAAGCCUGUAAUCCCAGCACUUUGGGAGGCCGAGACGGGCGGAUCACCAGGCCGAGACGGGCGGAUCACAAGGUCAGGAGAUCGAGACCAUCCUGGCUAACACGGCGAAACCCCGUCUCUACUAAAAACACAAAAAAUUAGCCGGGCGAGGUGGCGGCGCCUGUAGUCCCAGCUACUCGGGAGGCUGAGGCAGGAGAAUAGCGGGAACCCGGGAGGCGGAGCUUGCAGUGAGCUGAGAUCUGGCCACUGCACUCCAGCCUGGGCGACAGAGCGAGACUCCGUCUCAAAAAAAAAAAGGACAUGUUCAUGCUGCAGAUAACUAGCCAGAGCCCAGCCCUUUAUUUUGGUCCAUCCCUUUAUUUCCCAUAAGGAAUACUUCUAGUAAAUCUUAUGACUGGCUUGCUGUCAAUAAGUAUGUGGGUAAAUCUCUGUUUGAGGCUCUCAGCUCUGAAGACUGUGAGACCCCUGAUUUCCCACUCCACACAUGAUAUUUCUGUGUGUGUGUCUUUAAUUCCUCUAGCACCACUGGGUUAGGGUCUCCAGAACCUAGCUGGUCUCAGCAGUUGGAAAUUUGGACUUAUCCUGAGUUGCAGCUCUAUGGGGAAGGUGUGGCAAAAGAGUAGGGAACAUGGUGAGAAUGAUUGAAAUGAGGCCCCCAGGCUGAAGAUGGAGCCCUGGGAAGCACCAAAAUAUAAAGAGUGAAUAGAAGAGGAGAAUGCAAAGGUAAAUGAGAAAGAGAAGCCAGAAGCCAGUGCUCUCACAAAAGGAAACAGUCCUGAAAACCCCAAAGUUUGCAGAACCCUCCGAGGUCAUGCAGUCCAAACUUCUAAUUGUGACAGGUGAGAAAAGUGAGGCUCAGAG